UUACCCACUGGCCAUGUGGUGCAUUCACUCUAAUACUCUGAGAGCACAUCCAUUGGAGUGGCCCUACUAGCUAGCACGGUGCACUGGACACAAUGGACCAACACUCUGACUCAGGGGAAAGUAGAACUGUAUAGGAGAUUGUGUAUGCAACUGCUUGAGGCUCAAACCCUGGCCAGUGUUGACUGGGGGAAUGGGGGAUUUGAAGACAGAAUCCUCCCCCACCAUGGGGAAGCUUGACCUGGGGUAUGGUCAACUCCCUCAUGUUAGCCCGACCCCUCCUGGGGGGCAUCACAUUGAUAGUUUCAACACACACGUGUAGAGGAGCUGUGUCUGAAUAAUGUCUUCACAAAGGAACACAAGUUUCCCACGGAUGAGGACUGCCUCACUGACUUCCAUUCUCAUCUCUUGUUUGUGAUGAGAUAAAGAUCACCUUCUGUUGUGUGCCUACAGUAGCGUGGUGAUGGAGUUGCUGACUCAGUGAUCACUCGACUGAGACAACAUCCUCUGCCGCUGCUAAGGCCGUUGCUAGGCUAUACCAUCGGACAAAACCCCCCAUACAUCAUGACCUCAAGGCACUGGGCAUACUACUGUUAAAGCUGUGCUUCAUGGAUACUCCAUUUGGUGACAACCCUAGCUCUAGCCAUAGUCAGUGCUCAGUACAGCAUUCCUGAAGACUCUCCCUGCACACAAGACCUGCACAACUUGAGAGGUGAGACCACACCCACACACACACAUCCUAGUGAAAUGUAGCCAGGUUUACACAUGAUUAUGUUAACUUUAAGCCUUUAAUUAUAAAGACUAUUGAUAGUGAGUUUUUUCUUUGUGAAAUGAACCUGUUUUCAGAGCUAACUUUGAGAACACACACUAGCUACAGGUGCUAUGAUAUUCUGCCAGCCUUAAGUGUAUUGCUCUAUUAUUAUAAUGA